rnacentral:lncRNA from 1 species
CGGGGUGAACACAAAGGCAUCUGUCUAAUAUCCUGCACAAUAGACACACACCCCACAAUUAAAAACACUGGACGCUCUUGCUCUUUCUCUCUGUCUACACAAGCAAGCAAAAUGCAAGGUGCUGUAUCAGUAAAUGGGCUAAGGUACACACAAGGUAACAAUAACCCCGACUGUUCCCAGGAAGCAACUAUAAAAUCGGCUCUGCCACGUCCCUGUACAACCGUCAGAUAAAAUGCAGGCAGCCGGCCCCACGCCUUACGGGGUGGCCGACCUCGACUCGCUGGCCUCAAGGGAUCGCGGAGAACCCCCCAGAGCCCCUCCUGGCAGGAGAUCCAGACUUGCAGCAGUUGGUACAGUGCCUGUUCAAGAGAGAACACCAAUCAACAUUUGAGUAACUGAAAGUCUUCAAAUUGUGGAACAGCAAC